rnacentral:rRNA from 1 species
AGUGAACGCUGGCGGUAGGCCUAACACAUGCAAGUCGAACGGCAGCACAGUAAGAGCUUGCUCUUACGGGUGGCGAGUGGCGGACGGUUGAGGCAUACAUCGGAAUCUACUUUUUCGUUGGGGAUAACGUAGGGAAACUUACGCUAAUACCGCAUACGACCUACGGUUGAAAUCAGGGGAUCUUCGGUUCUUGCGCGAUUGCAUGCGCCGCGGUCGGAUUAGCUAGUUUGCGGGGUAAAGGCCCACCAAUGCGACGAUCCGUAGGUGGUCUGAGUGGAUGAUCAGUGACACUGGAACUGAGACACGGUCCAGAAUCAUACGGGAGGCAGAAGUGGGGAAUAUUGGACAAUGGGCGCAAGCCUGAUCCAGCGAUAACGCGGUGGUGAAGAAGGCCUUGGGGUUGUAAAGAAUUUUUGUUGGGAAAGAAAAGCAGCAGGUUAAUACGCCGAUGUUCUGAAGGUACCCAAAGAAUAAGCACCGGCUAAAUUCGUG